UACAUGGAUCAACAACAUAUGUAACAAUUGGAAUACAUAAUGUCAAUAAAACGACAAGUAGUUAGUGUCUAAAAGUUGGAAACAGUAUAGUUCAACUGUUGUAAGACUCUCCACUCUAUAGAGAGAGAGUGUAUCUCACCCCUUCUCACUUACUAGAUUCCAAUUUUUCAGAGGGAGGAUGAUCUUUGUAUUGUAAAAUAAGUUUCGAUCGAGAGAUCGACUUUUUUUUUGUUUUGGCUUUGGCGAUUUUUGAGACAUGCUCAGUUCUUGAUUCGGAGGUGGUAUCAAGCUUCGCUUACUGUCUCGAAGUCUCCACGGUGAACAAGACCUGAGAUUUGGCUCGUGCUUUGGCGAUUCAGGUCAGAAUCCAGACGAUUCGGAGCUGCCAUAAGGGUUAGUGUUCCGACAAGAUUCUUCUCUUGUUUCUGCUGAAGCUUUUUCUAGAUCUCAAUUUCUGACAAUUGGAGAAGACAAUCUUGAGAUUAACGGCGAUCAAAGGUAUGAAGAACAUGCAAAUAGUCUCAAACAAAAACGGGAUGGAGAUCGAUGGAUUCUGGCGAGACAGUUCCGGCACCGCCUUCUCUUCUCUCGGUU